GUCAGGCCCAGGUGGGAGUCCGGGCUGGGUGUGCCAGAGGGGCAAGGCAGAACCCUUAGCUCCUCCUGCUGCCCCAGGGCCUGAGUUGGGGCAGGAAGGCAGGGAAGAGGCCCACGGUGCCCGAGCAAAGCUGUCCCCCGUAAGCCUCUCUGUUCGCUCUUCCUGACGCCCUCUCGCCCUCCUGCCCUCUGCCCCUCCUGGGGGAGAUACAGCCUCUGUUCACACUUGUGUGCCAGCAUGCCUGUCUGUCCAGGGCCCUUUGAUGCCACCAACACCUGACGAAGGCAGGCUGGGUGCUGCCGUGCCCCCAUUUUAAAGAUGAGGAAACUGAGGCUGAGAUGGGUGAAGUAACCACAACCUGACCCAGGAAGGGCCAGGCCCACCUCUGGCAGUGGCCCUGAUGCUGAUGAAGAUGUCUUGGAAAGGAAAAGCACUCUCCUCGAUCAAUCCCUGCAGCUGCUCGGCAUGGAUGGCAGGACUCACACACAGCCCGUCUGCUCCUGUCCAGGCUGAGGACUGUAACCGAAGCCUAUUAGCUGACCGGGAGGGAUAAAUCCAGCUCCUCUGACAACUGCUUCUCGCUGGUCUUCUCUGGG
rnacentral:lncRNA from 1 species